CUUGUGCCCCUGCUUCCGGCCUGAGGGCUCUGGGCGUUAAUUUGGGGUGUUUUAUCAGCGUUGGAUGGAGGCAGGAGGGCAGUUCCCCGCUGUAGCUACCUCUGCCUCAAACUCUUCAAUUGAGUUUGGCGGUUGAAUCUUUAGGGACGACGAAGUGGCAGGGUGUUCGGUCCCUGUCAUGGAUGAAGGUGGUUCCCGCAUCCGCCGGCGGGUGUCUGUCCGCAAAAGGACCCGUCCUAGCAUUUUUGCCGCCCCUACCGCGGCGGAGCUCAAGUCGGACGAUGAGGAGGAGGAGGAAGAGAUGGUGGCCGAGUGCCGGAGGCGGAAAACCGUGGGGGUGCAACCGAUCGAGCAUUAUGAUAGUGAAGAGGACAUGUUUGGUGACUAUGACAGCUUUGCCGAGAACUCCUUUUUAGCUCAAGUUGAUGACCUGGAACAAAAGUAUAUGCAGCUUCCUGAACAUAGGAAACACGCUACAGACUUGGCCACUGCAGGUCUUUGUUCAGAAAGUGAUGAAAACAAACUCAGCAUUCCCACUGUGUUUCCUGAAUCAAAAACUGAUGAGCACGCAAAGAACCAGAGUGGACCUGAAGAUGUCCCUGUUGAACAUGGACCUGAUCUGCCUUCCUCACAGGUUUUAUACUUUGAAAAUUUGCAGAACUCAUCAAAUGAUUUGGGUAAUCCGUCUAUUGAAGAAAAGGAGCAGAACUCAUUCUCUCACAAGACUGGAGAUGAAGAAUUGUCCCUUAAUCACAUAGAGCAACCCCAGCAAGACAAUGACUUCUCUCCUAAAGUCAGAACGAGUUCAGAUACAAAUAGGAGAAAAAGUGUUAAGGAUCAUCUCAAAAGUGCCAUGACUGGAAAUGCCAAGGCCCAAACACCAGUAUUUUCCAGGAGUAAGCAGCUGAAAGAGACUCUCCUAUCUGAAGAAAUUAAUGUUGCCAAGAAAACAAUUGAGUCAUCGUCAGAUGACCUUGGUCCUUUCUAUUCAUUGCCCAGCAAAGUUCGAGACCUUUAUGUUCGAGUCAAAGGAAUUGAAAAAUUAUAUGAAUGGCAGCAUACUUGCUUAACACUGAAUUCUGUGCAAGAGAGAAAAAAUUUAAUAUACUCCUUGCCAACAAGUGGUGGGAAAACCCUGGUGGCUGAGAUUUUAAUGCUACAAGAACUGCUUUGCCGGCGGAACGAUGUUUUAAUGAUCCUUCCUUACGUGGCAAUUGUCCAAGAAAAGAUAACAGGCCUGUCAAGCUUUGGUAUAGAACUUGGUUUCUUUGUUGAAGAAUAUGCUGGAAGCAAAGGAAGAUUUCCUCCAAUAAAAAGACGGGAAAAGAAAUCACUGUAUGUUGCCACUAUCGAGAAGGGGCAUAGCCUGGUGAACUCCCUGAUUGAAACAGGGAGGAUUAGCAGUCUGGGUCUGGUGGUUGUCGAUGAGCUGCACAUGAUUGGUGAAGGAAGCCGUGGGGCUAUACUGGAAAUGACCCUAGCAAAAAUCCUCUACACUAGCAAGACAACUCAAAUUAUUGGUAUGAGUGCAACACUAAGCAAUGUUGAAGACCUACAAGAGUUUCUUCAAGCAGAAUAUUAUACCAGUCAAUUUAGACCAGUUGAACUGAAAGAAUAUCUAAAACUAAAUGAUAGAAUAUAUGAGGUUGACAGCAAGGCUGAGAAUGGCAUGACUUUUUCACGUGUCCUGAAUUAUAAGUACUCUGAUACUCUGAAAAAGAUGGAUCCUGAUCAUUUGGUAGCAUUAGUGACAGAAGUUAUUCCCAGUUAUUCCUGCUUAGUUUUUUGUCCUACUAAGAAGAAUUGUGAAAACGUAGCAGAAAUGAUAUGCAAAUUCUUAAGCAAGGAAUAUCUGAAGCACAGGGAGAAAGAAAAAGAUGAGGUGAUUAAGAACCUGAAGAGCAUCAGCAGUGGCACACUGUGUCCUGUUUUAAAGCACACUAUCCCUUUUGGAGUGGCCUACCACCACAGUGGUUUAACCAGCGAGGAACGGAGGCUUCUGGAGGAGGCCUAUUCCUCAGGCGUCCUCUGUCUGUUUACCUGCACAUCUACCCUAGCAGCAGGGGUCAACCUGCCAGCUCGAAGAGUUAUUUUAAGAGCUCCCUAUGUUGCUAAGGAGUUUUUAAAGAGAAAUCAAUAUAAACAGAUGAUUGGCAGAGCUGGCCGCGCUGGAAUAGAUACUAUUGGAGAGAGUAUCCUUAUCUUGCAAGAAAAAGACAAGCAACAGGUAUCUGAGUUAAUAAGCAGACCACCGGAAAACUGUUACAGCCAUCUUGUUCAGGAAUUCACCAAGGGAAUACAGUCUUUGUUUCUGUCUUUGAUUGGCUUGAAGAUUGCAACAAAUCUUGGUGACAUUCAUCACUUUAUGAAUGGUACAUUUUUUGGUGUUCAACAAAAGAUUUUAUUGAAAGAAAAGAGUCUCUGGGAAGUAACUGUCGAGUCACUGAGACACCUGACAGAGAAAGGACUGCUACAGAAAGACACUGUUAAUAACUCUGAUGAAGAGUGCCGAUGUGAUUUUCACAUUACGAAACUGGGACGAGCUUCUUUUAAGGGAACUAUAGAUUUAGCUUAUUGUGACAUUCUCUACAGAGACUUGAAGAAAGGUCUUGAAGGCCUUGUGCUGGAAAGCUUUCUCCAUCUCAUCUACCUAACAACUCCCUAUGACCUGGUUCCCCAGUAUGACCCAGACUGGAUGGUAUACUUCAGGCAGUUUAGCCAACUCAGUCCCGCAGAACAAAGCGUAGCUUCUCGUCUUGGAGUCUCUGAAAGCUUUAUUGGGAAGAAGGCAUCAGGUCAAGCCAUCAGAAAGAAGGUGGACAAGAACAUUGUCAACCGACUGUAUUUGUCUUUUGUUCUUUAUACCCUGCUCAAAGAGACCAACGUUUGGAGUGUGUCUGAAAAAUUUAACAUGCCUCGAGGAUACAUACAAAAUCUUCUCUCCGGAGCUGCCUCAUUCUCAUCUUGUGUGUUACAUUUCUGUGAGGAACUUGAGGAGUUUUGGGUUUACCGAGCCCUGUUGGUGGAACUUAUCAAGAAGCUAACGUACUGUGUAAAGGCCGAGCUGAUUCCUCUCAUGGAAGUGACCGGAGUUCAGGAGGGUCGAGCAAAACAAUUGUACAAUGCAGGUUACAAAAGCCUAACGCACUUAGCUAAUGCAGAUCCGGAAGUGCUAAUAAGGACAAUUGACCAUUUAUCAAGACGCCAGGCCAAGCAGAUUGUUUCCUCAGCAAAGGUGUGGCUGUGGCCCACUGGACGCCAAGGCUGGCAAGUGGAAAUCCCCCUGAGGUGCUGACCAAGCUGCAAGGAAGCUGCCUGGAGUGUACUGUUGCACUUGCUUGGAAGCCCUCUCAAAUGCCCAUGGAACUCCCUAGGAAACUGUCCCCAGGGGUCCUGUUGAAACUCACUGGAAUGAAUGCCACUCUCUGUCCAUCACUGCAACCAAGCACUGUAGGAACAAUAAGAAAAAGACACACACCAAAAACAGAUGCUGUUACAAGAAAAAGCAGAGGCAUUGCAGGAAGAAGUAGAAGAGUUACUGAGGUUGCCUCCUGAUUUCCCUGGCACCAUGGCUGCCUCCAUUGAAAAGGCAUGAAGCUAUCUGAUGAUUUCAAAAAUGAAUUAUUUAUUCUCCAUAUAUUUUAUUAAAGAUUCUCUAUACUUAUAAAAGAAAAAUAUAUUUUAAUUAUACAUCAUA